AACUUUGGAUAAAUAUAGCAUUGCUAGUUAAGCAUUAUGUAGCACUCUAUAUUCUCAAAGUGCUGUACAAAUUAAGUAGUUAAUUUUUCAUAAGAUGCUCAUAAGGUAGGUGGAUAAACACUAUCUCCAUUUUAUAGAGGGAUACUAAAGAAUAGAAGUUUUGACUUGCCCAAUGCAUCACAUCCUGCUGAUAUCAGACCCUGGGACAGUACUCAGUGUUCCUGGCUCUUAGCCUGGUGCUCUGUGCAUGACCGCACGGUGUCUCAGUGUGAAUGUGAUCGAGCAGAGGACUGUCGGUCAUAUUGAAGGUAGACUCCAGCUAAAAGCAGUAUAGAUAAAUCUGUUUUCCUUGAGUACUCCUCACACUGCUAAAUACUGGUCAAGUAAAUUAAAUUACAAUGGAUUUGUUACUAUAAUGUUUGCAGAACUAGCGAUAGAAGGAGGACUUCAAAAUAAUCAACUGAUGGGAGAUGCCAAGUGAAUAGUGCUCUUGAAUCAUGAUGUCUGAUCAGUGUGUAACGGAAGUAUUCAGCUACUAUCCAAGGUAUUCUGGAUGGCAUGGACGAGGAGAAGAGGAAAGAGACAAAGUCACAACACAGAAAGAGGAGGAGGAGGAAGAGAGAGAAAGAGAAAACUAAAAACCCUGAAGGAUGGUUCUCAAAAAUUCGAAAGGAACCACAGGGAAUUCCUUUUAAGAGCAACAGAAAGCGAGCCAGCUGAGAUUUCAGAAUUGCCAUCCUCCCUGCCAACAUGUCAUGAACAAGAAAAAAAAAAUUGCAUGAAAAAUCUAAUGGGUGUCUGGUCUGAUUGUCCUCACUCGUGGCAGGAAAGACAAAAACUGAUGAAUUGUGAAAUGUAUUCAGAGGGAUUCAAGAAAAGCAAGUGUCUAGGACCCCCCUCCUCACCAACACCUCCUCGUUUUCAUCUUGUUAUGCUUGAUGCGCCAUACAUGCUUGCCCUGACACUUGGGUUUGUAGAAAUUUAAGAUUAACAGUUUUUACAUUCACCCUGCUGAUCCCCCCCCCCUUUUAAAGUCAUCAUUAAAAAUAAAGUUAGCAGGGCUUAUAUUUAGCA
rnacentral:lncRNA from 1 species